GGAUACGAGAUAUUAUCGAACCGAAGUAGGAAAAGAAGGAAAGAUUAAAGACGAAUUCGACGUUACACAUUCUAUGAGAGAAGGAAACUCGAUCGAUCAAGUCAAAUUGUAUAUUUCUUUCUUCGUUUCAAAAGAACACGGAAGCGACGUAAGUGAGGACGCAAUAUUCAGUUUGGUUUGAUGCCACAGUCCGUCACCCCUGCGGCUGUUUUCACACAAAACAAAGAAACCCAUCCCUCCACGUCGAUAUUUCCUCGUUCCUGUCAUCGUCGUUCUCCUUUCUCGAAGGGCGGUACUCUCUACCCCACCUAGCCACCCUUUUCUUCGUCGACCUGCGCCUUUCUUCGAUCGCGAUUCGCACCGGAAGUUCAGGGCUGCGGACAUUAAGGGGCGAUAAGAGCGUUGUUACCAUUGGCUUAAACGUAUAAUUACGAAAAUGAUGGAUUUUAAAUUCGAGAGUAAAAGUGUUGUUUUUAAUCAGAAGAGAGUGAAAGUGUAUGUUUGAUAGAAUGUAAGAAUUAAUUAUAUUAAUUG